ensembl:lncRNA
AACUCCCGGGCCUGCAGCCAGCGGCCGCUUCAUGUCCCACCUCUCAGUCAGGUCAGCCUCGCCAUGCUCAUGCCCUGGUGCAGCCCUGUCGCCUCCAGGCCCCAGCCCAGUCGAACCUAGUCCAGACCCCAGAUCAGCCGUGUGUUGCCCAGACCCCAGAUCAGCCGUGUGUCACCCAGACCCCAGAUCAGCCGUGUGUCGCCCAGACCCCAGAUCAGCCGUGUGUCGCCCAGACCCCAGAUCAGCCGUGUGUCGCCCAGACCCCAGAUCAGCCGUGUGUCGCCCAGACCCCAGAUCAGCCGUGUGUCGCCCAGACCCCAGAUCAGUCGUGUGUUGCCCAGACCCCAGUUCCGUCCUUGUCCCCGUCAGAGGGCACCGCCCGUCUGACGAUUGUUAACCCCACCCAAUCAGGCCCGACGUCUUCCCUGUCGAGCUCGGCAGCUGUAAGCUGUCAUGCCAGCUCCGGAGUUGACGCCGUUCCAGUCCCUGUCGGCCAUGUUGCGGCCGUUCCAGUUUCUGUCGGCCAUGUUGAGGUCGUUCCAGUUCCUGUCGGCCAUGCUGAGGUCGUUCCAGUUCCUGUCGGCCAUGUUGAGGUCGUUCCAGUUCCUGUCGGCCAUGUUGAGGUCGUUCCAGUUCCUGUCGGCCAUGUUGAGGUCGUUCCUGUCCCUGUCGGCCAUGUUGAGGUCGUUCCUGUCCCUGUCGGCCAUGUUGAGUUCGUUCCAGUUCCUGUCCCUGUCGGCCAUGUCGAGGUCGUUCCAGUUCCUGUCCCUGUCGACCAAAUUGAGGUCGUUCCAGUUCCUGUUCCUGUCGGCCAAGUUGAGGUCGUUCCAGUUCCUGUCGGCCAUGUUGAGGUCGUUCCAGUUCCUGUUCCUGUCGGCCAUGUUGAGGUCGUUCCUGUCCCUGUCGACCAAAUUGAGGUCGUUCCAGUUCCUGUCCCUGUCGGCCAUGUCGAGGUCGUUCCAGUUCCUGUCCCUGUCGGCCAUGUCGAGGUCGUUCCAGUUCCUGUCCCUGUCGACCAAAUUGAGGUCGUUCCUGUUCCUGUCGGCCAAGUUGAGGGCGUUCCCGUAGGCCAAGUUGAGGGCGUUCCCGUAGGCCAAGUUGAGGGCGUUCCCGUAGGCCAAGUUGAGGGCGUUCCCGUAGGCCAAGUUGAGGGCGUUCCCGUAGGCCAAGUUGAGGGCGUUCCCGUAGGCCAAGUUGAGGGCGUUCCCGUAGGCCAAGUUGAGGGCGUUCCCGUAGGCCAAGUUGAGGGCGUUCCCGUAGGCCAAGUAGAGGUCACCCCUGUCUCUGACCCCGUUCCUGCCGACCCUGUAGCGGUCGUUCCAGUCCCCGUUCCUGCCGGCCCUGUAGCGGUCGUUCCAGUCCCCGUUCCUGCCGACCCUGUAGCGGUCGUUCCAGUCCCCGUUCCUGCCGACCCUGUAGCGGUCGUUCCAGUCCCCGUUCCUGUCGACCCUGUAGCGGUCGUUCCAGUCCCCGUUCCUGUCGGCCCUGUAGCGGUCGUUCCAGUCCCCGUUCCUGUCGGCCCUGUAGCGGUCGUUCCAGUCCCCGUCACCCGUGGAGCCGUAGCGCCCGCCGGCCCCCAGGAGGAGGUCGCGCCAGCUACAGCUCCUGCGCGCCUCCAGGAGGAGGUCGCGCCAGCCGCAGUUCCUGCGCGCCUCCAGGAGGAGGUCGCGCCAGCCGCAGUUCCUGCGCGCCUCCAGGAGGAGGUCGCGCCAGCCGCAGUUCCUGCGCGCCUCCAGGAGGAGGCCGCGCCAGCCGCAGUUCCUGCGCGCCUCCAGGAGGAGGCCGCGCCAGCCGCAGUUCCUGCGCGCCUCCAGGAGGAGGCCGCGCCAGCCGCAGUUCCUGCGCGCCUCCAGGAGGAGGUCGCGCCAGCCGCAGUCCCGGCGGAUCCCCAGGAGGGGGUCGCGUCAGCCGCAGUCCCGGCGGAUCCCCAGGAGGGGGUCGCGCCCGUCGCAGUCCCGGCGGACCCCCAGGAGGGGGUCGCGCCCGUCGCAGUUCCUGCCGACCUCCAGGAGUGGGUCGCUCCCGUCGUAGUUCCUGCCGACCUCCAGGAGGGGGUCGCUCCCGUCGUAGUUCCUGCCGACCUCCAGGAGGGGGUCGCUCCCGUCGUAGUUCCUGCCGACCUCCAGGAGGGGGUCGCUCCCGCCGUAGUUCCUGCCGACCUCCAGGAGGGGGUCGCUCCCGUCGUAGUUCCUGCCGACCUCCAGGAGGGGGUCGCUCCCGUCGUAGUUCCUGCCGACCUCCAGGAGGGGGUCGCUCCCGUCGUAGUUCCUGCCGACCUCCAGGAGGGGGUCGCUCCCCGUCGUAGUUCCUGCCGACCUCCAGGAGGGGGUCGCUCCCGCCGUAGUUCCUGCCGACCUCCAGGAGGGGGUCGCUCCCGUCGUAGUUCCUGCCGACCUCCAGGAGGGGGUCGCUCCCGUCGUAGUUCCUGCCGACCUCCAGGAGGGGGUCGCUCCCGUCGUAGUUCCUGCCGACCUCCAGGAGGGGGUCGCUCUCGUCGUAGUUCCUGCCGACCUCCAGGAGGGGGUCGCUCCCGUCGUAGUUCCUGCCGACCUCCAGGAGGGGGUCGCUCCCGUCCCGGCUCCGGCCGCACCGGCAUCGGUUCCUGGCGGCCCGGUUCCGGCUGCUCCUGCAUCGGUUCCUGCCUCUCGUCGCGGUGGGCCAAGGAGGACGCCGCUGGUCCCUGCCUCGUCCUCGUCUCGGCCGCCGGACUGGUGGUCUUGCCCUCGGCGCCUCCUGCUGCCCGGAUGGCGCUGCCCUCCUGCGGCGACGUCCGCCUCGACUCCUCAGCCCAUUGGAUCAGCGUCCGCCUGGAGGACGUUGCCAUUCGGGGUGGCUCCCGGGGACAUCGGUCCAGCCCAAGGGCACUAAGAGUGCCACCCUGGCUCAGCGGCUGCUGAGCAGGGUCUCGCCACGCCGUCACCCUCCGUGACGGAAUCUCUGAACUUCAUGUCUUCCCUGGUCGCGGACUUUGUUGUGGACUUUUGUUUUGGCCCUCCCCCGGUCCUCCCUCCACCCACCCUGCUCAUGUACCUUGAGGGGUAGGGAUUCGGUCCCUCCGCCUGGGACCACCCUCCGCCCGCCCUGGUUUGGGGGGGGGGCUUCCGUAGGCGCCGUGGAAGGCGCCAUGGGGGGGGGGUACUGUCAUGAUCUGUGUUUUUGUUCUUGUCAUGAUCUGUGUUUUUGUUCUAGCUGAUUCCUUGUCUUAUUUUGGUUCCAGGUUCCGUUUCCUGUUUUAUUUUGGUAGUCCCCCGGUCUCUGUUUUGUGUUCUAGCUUCACUCCCGAGUCAUGUCACGUCACAGCUGUUCUUGUUUCACCCGGUCGUUAUCCUCACCUGCGCUGCAUCAGUAAUCACUCACCCGUGUAUUUAGUCACCUCCUGUUCCCGUAGUCACUUGCCAGAUUGUCGUUUCGAGUCCCAUGAGUGUAUCCUUGUUUCCUGUAUUUCCUGAAUGUUCGUGCUUCUCGUGUUUUGUUCCUGUUCGCAUCGUGUAUCCUGCCCGACCCCGGAUUACCUACUUACCGUGAGUUUUUGCCUGUUCCCUGCCUGUACUCUUGCCGAGCCUUUUUGUGUUGACCUGGACCGUCUGACCGUGUCUUAAGGAAUAAAUCUUUUGUUAAUUAUAAUAUCGUCUCCGUGCUGUGCAUGUGGGUCCGCCGCCCGCCCGAGUUCCUGACACCUUUCACAUACUGUAACUGUGCAGUCUGGUCAAUAUAUAAUAUAAUAUAUGCUUAUUAUAAACACUAUAUGUAUAUUUUACUGUAUAAUGUCUAUAGGAGUGUGUUGAAGCCUUAAGCAGCUCAACUCAGCCAUUAAAAACCUCCUCCUCCCGUUUGCAUUGAUUUAUUGAAAUACUGCAUGUGUGCAGCUCUAAUGCGGAGCGUGUUCUAAGCCAAUGAUCAAACCUUCGCUCCGCUCUCUGUCACAGGGCAGCGGUCCAGCACUUUGGGCCCGACUCGAGUAGCUCGUAAAACCCUGCACAGACGCUGACGGUCCCCAGAGGCUGAAUCCCAUCACUUUAUGGCACCCACUUAUGGGCUAAGGUUUGUCUUUUGAGCGAGACGUCCCACAGCUAUCGGAUGGAAUGGGCUGCAGCUGUUGGCGUCUGCAGAAUGACGACUCCCGAUGACUUUGAUGCGGUUGUGGCUCCGAGUGAGACGCCACCGACAACAGCGUCGUCUUCACGUCGUCCUCAGUCUGGAAUCAGCAUUUAGCGCCACGCCCUGCAUCCCACACAGUUCUGCUCCUCGUCCCAAUUCUUCCUCCACGAGUCGUGUGACUGUAUUUUGUCUUUAUUACAACGAGCAGAAACUAAUCAAGGAGAUCGCAAUUAACGACCUAAGUG